AGUGAACGCUGGCGGUAGGCCUAACACAUGCCAGUCGAACGGCAGCACAGUAAGAGCUUGCUCUUACGGGUGGCGAGUGGCGGACGGGUGAGGAAUACAUCGGAAUCUACUUUUUCGUGGGGGAUAACGUAGGGAAACUUACGCUAAUACCGCAUACGACCUACGGGUGAAAGCAGGGGAUCUUCGGACCUUGCGCGAUUGAAUGAGCCGAUGUCGGAUUAGCUAGUUGGCGGGGUAAAGGCCCACCAAGGCGACGAUCCGUAGCUGGUCUGAGAGGAUGAUCAGCCACACUGGAACUGAGACACGGUCCAGACUCCUACGGGAGGCAGCAGUGGGGAAUAUUGGACAAUGGGCGCAAGCCUGAUCCAGCCAUACCGCGUGGGUGAAGAAGGCCUUCGGGUUGUAAAGCCCUUUUGUUGGGAAAGAAAAGCAGCAGGUUAAUACCCCGCUGUUCCGACGGUACCCAAAGAAUAAGCACCGGCUAACUCCGUG
rnacentral:rRNA from 1 species